GUGCUCACUUUGGCAGCACAUAGAGUAAAAAUGGAACAAUUAAGAGAAGACACACAUGGUCCCUAUGCAAAAAUGACAUGCAAAUUCGUGAAGUGUUGCAUAUUUUU